AGCAUUUCCCCUGUGUGGGCGACCCCUGGGUCCCAUGUGGGGUCAGUGUUUGGGUCUCUCUGAGAGGAUCAGGAAGGCUGCUCUUCCAGGAAGGGCUGCAGGGACCCUGGGAACCGGACCAGUCCAGCUCACAAGUAUGAAGAGAAUGUCGGGAGAGGAAGUGGUGGCUAUGAGUCAGCAUGAGUCAUCUCGUUCCAAUGAGAAUGAAGGCUGAGACAAGCGGUGCCUGAGCCCGUGCCUGUCUUCAGAUCUUCACAGCACAGUUCCUGGGAAGGUGGAGCCACCAGCCUCUCCUUGAAUAACUGGGAGAUGAAACAGGAAGCUCUAUGACACACUUGAUCGAAUAUGACAGACACCGAAAAUCACGACUCAGCCCCCUCCAGCACCUCUACCUGUUGCCCGCCGAUCACAGCCGGAAUGCAGCUGAAAGAUUCCCUGGGGCCUGGUUCCAACCGCCCACUGUGGACUCUGAGGCCUCUGCAUUUGCGGGUGGUCUGCCUGUGAUAUUUUGGUCAUGGGCUGGUCUGGUCGGUUUCCCAUUUGUCUGGCCAGUCUCUAUGUGUCUUAAUCCCUUGUCCUUCAUUAAAAGCAAAA
rnacentral:lncRNA from 1 species